GCGUCCAAGCUGUUAGGGUCGCUCCCUACGGCGCAUGCGCUGUGGCUCACCCACGCCGUAGGUCUUGCUAUGGGUUUAUUAAGAAAACGCAAACGCGCGUGAGGCGUGGGGCGUGGGGCGUGGAGGACAACUAACUAGGCUGACCUGUAAAAGCAGAGGAAAUUGGAACCUGGAAAGUUCUGAAGUGCUUCGGAACAAGAACAAAACCCUAAUUAUUCAUAUAUGCAGAAAGGCUAAGAAAGUGUGUUAGACUGGCAACACUGGAUAAGAAAUCAAAAAAGGACUGCUUAGUGUGCCUCUUUAGUCAACAUGAAAAAGAAGAAAAGAACAAGCAACUGAAGGAUCCUCUGAUGGCCUCAAGGCAGUGGAUUGAGAAUAUCUCUUAAGUACAAGGAGGUAUUCUAGGAUACUGAAGCCUGGGAAUUGAAUUCACUGUUACCCACACGCUGGCCUUGACAGGGAAAGACCCUGGAUUAUCUUCAGAAUCAAGCCUUCAUUACUGAGAUAAAGUGAAAGAGACUUU
rnacentral:lncRNA from 1 species